rnacentral:lncRNA from 1 species
UCCUACAUGAAUGCCCCUCUCAAUUAGGACUCUCCUAGCUAGAGUCCUAACAGAAUGUCCCUCUCAAUUAGAACUCUCCUAGCUAGAGUCCUAAUAGUUUUACAUGAAUGUCCCUCUCAAUUAGGACUCUCCAAGCUAGAGUCCUAACAGACCUGCCCUCUUCAAAUCAGCCUUGUCCUCGAGGCUGAUGAUUCGUGAAUUCUGGGAAUUUGAUCUUCAAGUCGUCAUAGUUCUCCCAAGUGGCAUCUUCUAUUGGUAGGUUCGCCCACUGUAUUAGCACUUCAUUAGUGGGUCGUCGUCGUCGAGUCAUGAUCCGUCGAUCAAUAAUGGCACUUGGCUGGGUCUGGAGUUCUCUUU